CGUAGGGGGCGAGCGUUGUCCGAAGUUACUGGGCGUAAAGCGCGCGUAGGCGGGUUCUUAAGUGAGGGGUGAAAGGUUCAGGGCUCAACCCGGACACUGCCUUUCAUACUGGGGACCUUGAGUGCGGGAGGGGCGAGUGGAAUGGUCGGUGUAGCGGUGAAAUGCGUAGAUAUCGAUCGGAACACCCAUGGCGAAGGCAGCUCGCUGGCCUGCAACUGACGCUGAGGCGCGAAAGCGUGGGGAGCAAACAGGAUUAGAUACCCUGGUAGUCCACGCCGUAAACGAUGAGUGCUAGGUGUAAGGGGUAUCGACCCCCCUUGUGCCGCAGCUAACGCAAUAAGCACUCCGCCUGGGGAGUACGGCCGCAAGGUUG
rnacentral:rRNA from 1 species